GCGCCACAAGUAUAUUUGGGCAGCUAAGCUGUGAAAAUUUUAUUUUGAUUGGAGGAAUACAGAACUAUGCAAAACUUGGGUGUAUUUGUUUAACUUAACCUAGUUACUACAGCAGUUUCUCAAACUUCCUCAUUCAUUUAGGGGUUUAGGUAUUUGAUUGACUGGCGCCAGCAAGAACUCAUUUUGGAGAGCACCACAUACAUAACUAGGUCUCAUUCAGGCACGGUCCACACUAUUCCUAUCCACAAAGUGCUUUUGAUUUACCGGGAAAUCUUUUGACAAAGCUCUUCUCCCUUCAGGGAAGUGUGGGUGGUGGUGGUGGUGCAGGACCUAGAAGCAAAAAAGGGACACUUCUAACAAAGCCGUGAAGUUCUUCUGUGCUGUUAUAACGCGAUCUACCUAGGGAUCAUUAAUUCUCUCAAGACUCAAAAGGCUAAUAAUGAUUGCUGUGGAAAAAUACUACUUUCCCAAAAGUGCCUAUGGAUUUACAGAUCAUCCUGAAGACAGAAGCAGAAAUAUGUGGGCUACAAUAUGAAGGUCUCACUCUCUCUCCCAGGCUGUAGUGCAGUGGUGUGACCUCAGCUCACCGCAACCUCCGCCUCCUGGGCUCAAGUGAUUCUUCUGCCUCAGCCUCCCAAGUAGCGGAACCACAGGUGCCUGCCACCACACCAGGUAAACAACCACCACAGAUGCAGGAAUCUGACAGAUUAUGAAUCUGCUGCUAAUACUGCUGACUUCAGUCCCAGGCUACUCUGCCAUGAUCCAGAAAUAUGCCAAGUCUGCUCCAGGAAGCUGCUGAAUCAGGAAUCCACCUACCACAUUGGGCAGUCACUGCUAGCUGCCACCUCGGCCUUGAUCCUCGCCAGCAAAAUAUAUGCCUCAAACUUGGCUUUUUUCGUCUGUUUGAUUCAGAUUCUAAACAUUCUUGCAGGAGUAUGAAGGAACGUAAAUCAUGUUCUAGCCUCCAAUGUGUCUGAGAAAUGUAGUUUAACUUUCCAGCUGCUUCAUGUUACCGGUAGGUUAGAAUGGAUGUUGUAUAAAGCAAUUUAGGGUAUUGGACACAGCAUAAUAACGAAAAGACAGGUUCCAUUAAGACAAAUUCUUUGGUGUUUCCAAACCUUCCGUGAGCUAUCAGGAAGAGAAAGUCCUCGUAUAAGUGCCACAAAAUGAUAUACAAAUAAAAAUAAUUGUAUGCAUGCUUCCUUUCCAUCCAUGCCACUACCCCAAAACAAUUUUUUAUUUUAACCCUCUGCCCUGUGAGCUUCCUACAGUGGCAUAAAGAUUUGCAUAAUCAUGUUUAUAACAGCACUGUUAGAAAUAGCAACAAAAAGUGCUUGAGAAAGGGUAAAAAUGUUAGUAUAUCCUGCUAUGUAGCAAUUAAAAGAUAUGGAUGUAGAUACUGACAUGGAAAGAGAUCUAAGACACAUUUUAAACACAAGUUAAAGAGUAGCUUAUGAAGUCUGAUCUCACUUUUUAAAAGAAAGGUAAUUUUGGCUGGGCGCCGUGGCUCACGCCUGUAAUCCCAAAACUCUGGGAGGCCGAGGUGGGCGGAUCACGAGGUCAGGAGAUCGAGACCAUUCUGGCCAACAUGGUGAAAUCUGGUCUCUACUAAAAUACAAAAAAAUUAGCCGGGCAUGGUGGCACGCGCCUGUAGUCCCAGCUACUCAGGAGGCUGAGACAGGGGAAUCGCUUGAACCCAGGAGGCGGAGGUUGCAGUGAGCCAAGAUCACGCCACUGCACUCCAGCCUGGGCAACAAGAGUGAAACGUUGUCUCAAAAAAAAAAAAGGUAAUUUUUUAAAUGCGUUAUCUUGACGGCUUCUUUCAGAUUUUAAAUGUAGUCCAAAGAGAUAAAUAAUCUAUUUUAUAGAUGCAUACAAAAUACAAAGUUCUCUAUAAUCCUAAUCUCCCACAAUAACUGCAGUUAAUAUUUUUCUGUAUGUAUGCAUACUUUUUUCUGUAGAUAUAAAAUCUUUAGGUCACACUUUUAAAUGAAUUUAGCUUUGUUUAAAAGUCACAUUUUUAUUUUUAGGAAUAAGAUCUUGUUAUAUCAGUGCCGUAGUACUCAAGGGUGUGUCGCACUCUGAAUUUGUUUAUUUUUCCUCUGAAAAAAUCACUGGGGGCCACUGAUUUCUUCACAGGUAUGGUUUCUUUUCUUUCCUUUCGUUUUUUUUUUUUUUUUUUUAAUUAUACUUUAAGUUCUAGGCUACAUGUGCACAACGUAUAGGUUUGUUACAUAGGUAUACAUGUGCCAUGGUGGUUUGCUGCACCCAUUAACUCAUCAUUUACAUUAUGUAUUACUCCUAAUGCUGUCCCUCCCCCAGGCCCCCAGCCCCCGACAGGCCCUGGUGUGUGAUGUUCCCUGCCCUGUUUCCAUGUGUUCUCAUUGUUCAAUUCCCACCUAUGAGGGAGAACAUGCAGUGUUUGGUUUUCUGUCCUUGUGAUGGUUUGCUGAGAAUGAUGGUUUCCAGCUUUAUCCAUGUCCCUGCAAAGGACACAGGUAUGGUUUCUAUAUAUGAUAUGGUUUGGCUCUGUGUCCCCACCCAAAUCUCAUCUUGUAGCUCCCAUAAUUCCCAUGUGUUAUGGGAGGGACCCAUAGGAGAUGAUUGAAUCAUGGUGGCAGGUCUUUCCCAUGCUGUUCUCGUGAUAGUGAACAGGUUUCACGAGAUCUGAUGGUUUUUAAGUUUCUCUACACAAGCUCUCACUUUGCCUGCUGCCAUCCAUGUAAGAUGUGACUUGCUCCUCCUUUGCCUUCUGCCAUAAUUGUGAGGCCUCCCUAGCCAUGUGGAACUGUAAAUCCAAUAAGCCUCUUUCUUUUGUCAAUUGCCCAAUCUCGGGUAUGUCUUUAUCAGCAGCAUGAAAACGAACUAAUACAACAUGCUAACAUAUACAACUAAUUUGUUUAAUAAAUAUGGGUUCAGUUUUAUACAUCUUUAACUAGCAUCUCAUUUCAAAGUCUGUUGUUUUUCCAUAAGUGCUAUUUGCAGUGCAAAUAUGUCAUUUAGUCAACCCAGGACAGGCAAGGUACUUGCAAGCAUUAAACAAAAAACUGAUAUCAUAUCUCUGAGACAUAUUACAUUGCAUCAUGCUCUCUUUCUGGAACAUUUUUCUAAAAUCACAAAUUUUUAGGCAUCUAGACCAAAUACUUCAUUUUUAUAUUGCUAUACAAAGAGAAUAUAGGAGCUAUUUCAUCAUAUUUAAUAUUUUAAUAAGAGCAUCUCCAACAUGGUUUCACACCAUGCAUGCAUAUAGGUCCACCAUUGUUCUCCAUGAAAUAUGCUAUAAAACUUAAAAUAAAUUUAUCAGUUAUGCUACUACAACACAUUCAUUUUCUACUUGAGCAAAAUAUACAUAGAUGAAUAAGCUGUUUCUAGAACUGACUGCGAAAACAAAAGAUUCAAUAGCAAUGAAGUCUAGAGGUAAUAAGGCAUGUAUAGUAAUUAGUUGUAGUUAGACCUCACUGAUUCUGAAUAAGUAGAAGAAAAAAGAAAUGGAAAAUGGAAAAAGGGUAACCCAGAGAAUGAAUUAAAGCAUGGUUUUCAAACCACGGUCUUGGGACUCCUUUAUACAAUUACAAAUUAUUGAGAACUCCCAAGUAGGCUUGCUAGAUAAAAUAUUGGAUGACUAGGUAAAUUUGAAUUUCAAAUAAACAGUGAAUUAAAAACACAAGUAUGUCCCAAGUAUUACAUGGGACUCAUGUAUACUAAUAAGUAUUCAUAUUUAUUUGAAAUGUAAGUUUAUUCUGUGUCUUGUAUUUUUAUUUGGUAAAUCUGACAAAUCUUAUUUCAUUUUUUAUGCUAGAUAUAUCUGUUAGUAUUUUACAUAUUAUAAAUUAAAACAAAAAAAAAUUUGUAUUCAUUGAGUUAAGAUAACAAUAGACCUAUUACAUAAGUAACAACUUCAUGAAAAAUAUUCAUUUUUCCUAAAACAACAAACAAAUUGGCAUUGUACAUUUUUGCCAAUCUCUUUAAUGUCUAGCUUAAUAACAGACAGGUAGAUUCUCCUACCUGCGUUUGCCCUGCGAGUACUGCAUUAUGUUGCUUUGGUAAAAGUACAUGAAAAAAAUAUGGCCUCACAGAUAAAUACUUUAGAAAAGGGAAGAGUAUCUUAAUGCUUUUUCAGAAGAUUGUGGAUAUUAUUCUUUGAUGCUACACUCAAAAUUAACAACUGAUAGUUUGUUUUCUUUUCUUUUCUUUUCUUUUUUUUUCUUUUUUUUUUUUUUUUUGAGACAGUCUCACUGUGUUGCCCAGGCUAGAGUGCAGUGGCAUGAUCUCAGCUCACUGCAACCACCGCCUCCAGGGUUCAAGCGAUUCUCCUGCCUCAGCCUCCUGAGUCACUGGGACUACAGGCACACACCACCACACCCAGCUAAUUUUUUUUUUUUGUAUUUUUACUGGAAGUGGGCUUUUGCCAUGUUGGACUGGCUAGUCUCAAACUCCUGAACUCAAGUGAUCUGCCUGCCUCAGCCUCCCAAAGUGCUGGGAUACAGGCAUGAGCCACCACACCCAGCCAAUAACUAAUAGUUCCUUAAAGGUUAGUUGCAAUAAAACGUAUGAAAUCAUGGCAGUGAAUUUUUCAUACUUGGUCAUACUAAAAUCUGUUUGUCUGUCUUAUGCUUUGAAUGAUCUUUUAUUCCUGCCUUAUUUUUAAAACAUCUGAAAUCAUGGCAGUGAGUUUUUCAUACUUGCUAGUACUAAAAUCUCUCUGUCUUAUGCUUUCAAUGGAUCUUUUAUUCCUGCCUUAAUUUUAUAACAUCAUGGACAUUGGCCAUUUGAAAAACAACUGGUUUAUUGAUUUAUGUAGUUCUUUCAAUGAUCUUUACACAGUAUUGAAAAAAUCACAUUUGUUAAUAUCACCACUAAUUUCAUAAGAGGAGUCUGUUUAAGUAUUAAGAAGAUGUCAAGCUCGAGGAGGUGGAUAGAAGUUUCCCAAAAUACUAAUUUCUGCUUGAAAGUUAAAAUUUUAUCAUUGGCAAUAAAUCCUAACAAUUGUUUUGCUUGAAGUAAAUAACCGGCUCAUUUUGAUUAUUUUUAAAUAACAUUUCUGCUAAAUAUGCAAGUCUCAAUAACCAUAGACAUUUUCACAAGUAGAGAUGGUGUUCCAUAGCAAAAAAAAGUGGCUCAUUCAGCUUGUAACACAAAUGACAUUUUCCUCAUGAGAACUGUCAUACACUGGCAAACAUACUUUACAUGUAUUUCCCAUGUAAGUACAUUUUCAUCACACAAAAUUUUUAAAGUGUAUUCACAGGUAAAGGUUUAAUGAAAAUAAUGCUUAAUUAAAGAGAUUCUUAUGUGAAGUCAGCUUUUUAAUUUUCUUUUCCCUAUGAGGCUGCGGCAGUGAAGACUACAAUGACUGCUGUUACAGUCCGGUGCCGCUACCUCCAUUCAUACGAAGGUAACAGCGUGAUUGCUUUUCCACCGUCAGUUCCAAUGUCAACACAGUAGAAAGACAAAUGGCUUCAUAAUAUUAUUAUGAAAACAGUGUUUAGUUUGUGGAUCCUUGGGAAAGUCUUGGAAAUCCCUCCAAGUCUGCAACUCCAGCGUGGAGAACUGCUACUUUAAAAAUACAAAACAAUUUUGUUGUUUUCAAAAACACUUUAAAGAGCAGGUAGAUAAAAUAAAAAAUAUCAAUAUUUCUAUGUAUGUAAUAACUAAUGGACUAGAUCUAAAAAUGUUCUUAAAUGUUUAUCACCCAGCUGUUUUCUCCUUUUCACAAGAUUCCCUUAUUUAGCACCUCUUUGGGUUGUGGUGUCACCUUCUCAUUUGCUCUUCUCUUGCACAUCAGUAACUCUGUCCAUUGUCAUCUAUGUACAAAAUGAAAUCAACAUACAUGAGUGCAAGGAGAGCUCACAACUGCUUGGGUAGAUCUUGGUUUGUUUAGGGUCUUGGUUUGUUUAAGGUUAUACACAAUUUAAUGCUAUUCGUGCCCCAAUGCCAUAGUGAUACUGCUCUAGCCAACAUUCCAGAUUCAUAAGGCUUAUCAUUACGAUGUUUAAAGCUUAGGAUGUAGUCUCAUUGUCCGGAUAAGGCUCAAAUUCCUUAACAAAGUGUGCAGAGUGCCUCACACCUUGGUCCCAAUCCAACCUUUCCUUUAUUUUUCUUGUCAACAGUACAAGGGCACGCACGCACACACACACAAUUCAGCUCCACAACUUGCUAUUCCCUAAACAUACAUUAUGCUGCAAGUCCUCUGUCCCAAAUGUGUUUCCUCCAAAUUCUCAUUUACUUGGCAAAUUUCUCCCCAAACAGAUCUUUCCUCAUAACUCAUCUUCUCAAGGAAAUCUUCCAUGAACAUCUUACAAAAAAUGUCACUCAUUUCAACAUUUCAUUCUCUUCACCUCUGCUUUAUUUUAUUCCUUUUAUUUUUAGUUGAUACAUAAUAAUUAUACAUGUUUUGGGGGAAUACAGAGUGAUAUCUUGAUAUGUGUGUACAGUAUGCAAUGAUCAAAUCAGGGUAAUAAGCAUAUCCAUCAAUUCAAAUAUUUACCAUUUCUUUGCAUUGUGAACAUUCAAAAUCCUCUCUUCUAGAUUUUCGAGAAUAUACAAUAAAUUAUGGUUAACCAUAUUCACCCUACAAGGCUGCGGAACACCAGAACUCAUUACUCACAUCUAGAUGUAAUUUUGUACCCAUUAAUUGUUUUCUCCUCGCCCUACCCUCUCCCCUCUUCUUUUCAGCCUCUAAUACUCGCAAUUCUAUUUUCCACUUCUGUGGGCUCAAAUUGUCUUUCAUAGCUUCCACAUAUGAGUGAGAACAUGUGGUAUUUAUCUUUCUGUGCCUAUCUUAUUUUGUUUAGAUUAGUGCCCUCCAGACUCACCCACAUUGGCACUAAUGAUAGAAUUGCAUUCUUUUUUGUGGUUGAAUAAUAUUCUAUUGUGUAUAUAUACCACAAUUUCUUUAUUCAUUCAUCUGUUGGUGGACAUUUAAUUCCAUAUUUUCCAUAUUUUAGCUAUUGUGAAUAGUGCUGCAAUAAACAUGUGGGUGCACGCAUCCCUUUGAUAUACUUAUUUCCUUUUCUUGGAUAAGUAACCAGUAAUGGGAUUGCUGGAUCAUAAGGUAGGUCUGUUUUCGGCUUUUUGAGAAAUCUCCACACUGUUUUCUAUCAUGGCUGUACAAAGUUAGAUUCCCACUAAUAAUAUAUGAGUCCCAGCAUUUGUUAUUUCUUGUUUUUGUGAUAAUAUCCACUCUGACUUGGGUGAAAUGAUAUCUCAUUUUGGUUUUGAUUUGCUUUUCCCCAAUGAUUAGUGAUGUUGAACUUUUUUUUUCAUAUAUUUGUUGGCUAAGUGUAUAUCUUCUUUUGAGAAAUGUCUAUUGAGAUUCUUUCCCCCCUUUAAUCAGAUUAUGUAUUUAUUUUGCUGUUGAGAUGUUUGAGUUUCUUGUAUAAUCUGGGUAUUAGUUCUUUGUUGGAUAAAUAGUUUGCAAAUAUUUUCUACAGGUUGUCUCUUCACUCUGUCGAUUGUUUCCUUUACUAUGCAGAAGCUUUUCAGUUUAGUAUAGCCCCAUUUGUCUAUUGUUACUUGUGUUGCCUGUGCUUUUGAUAUCUUUGCCAUAAAAUAUUUGCCUAGACCUGUGUUCUGAAGCAUUUCUCUCGUGUUUUUGUCUAGUGGUUUUAUAGUUCGAGGUCUUUAAGUUUUUAAUUCAUUUUUGUUUACAGUGAUCUCUAUUUUAUCUUUUAUUCUCACUUCUUAUAUAUCAUAUAUUAUUUAUCUUGAUUAAUUUCUUGCCCACUAGAGGAUAUGUAUUAUGGGGGCAGAGAUUUUUGCUUGCAUUUUGCCCACAAUGGUACCUUCUGUACUUACUGGUGUUUUCUUGGUAUUUGUAGGUACUCGGUAAAUAUUUGCUGAGUGGGCCAAGUGUGGUGGCACACACCUGUAAUCUCAGCACUUAGAGAGGCUGAGGCAGGAAGAUUGAGAGCCCAAGAGCUCUAGACCAGCAUGGGCAACAUAGUAAGACCUCGUCUCUACAAAAAAUAAUUUUUAAAAAAUUAUAUGCUUGUGGUGGCACAUAUCUGUAGUCCCAGCUAUUCAGGAGGCUGAGGUGGGAGGGUCCUUGAACCCAGGAGGUCAAAACUACAGUGAGUUGAGAUUGUGCUACUGCACUCCAGCCCGGAUGACAGAGCAAGACCUUGCCUCCAAUAUAUUCAUUUGUUGAAUGAAUAAAGGAUGUCAUAUAGCACCUCUAUUAGCUUCCUUCACCUCAGAAAGUCAAAUUUAGGCACAUUUUUCUUUCUUCUCUAUUCCACACUACAUACAGCAGUAUACCAUUUGCCACUUUUUUUUUAAAUUUUAACUCUUAAAAAGUAGAAUUUCUAGCAGACUCCACACACUUUAACAUAUGUGAUUUGUUUUAUUCCUCCUCAGCUGUUGUUGCAGUGGCUGACACUAGGUAGGUAUUUUAUAAACAUCUGUCGAAAACUGAGUGAAAUACUGUGAGGCAGUUAAAACCAAAAGUGUAGAAUAAUUUGGAGCUUGCACAAAAUAAGAUGCCUUAUACAACUGGUUAAGUAAAAUAAUAAUAUUGAAUGGCCUUCUCAACAUGGUGCAGAACUAUUGUUCCCAGAAAUAAAUAGAAUAUGUAAUGCCCCUUUCUAAGUUCCAACAUGAUUAAUAUUAAACUAGGCUGCCAUGAACCAAAAUUUUUCCAGAGUUGCUCUCUUCCAACGUCUCCUGUAGUUUAGCCAUCCUCCGUCUUACUACCUCCCUUACUACGCCCAUGAGAGAAGAUCGGAUCUCAAUCAGUUGUCCUUUUGCUUUAUAGUGCUAUUUUUAUUCUUUAAACUUUAACUCAUUUAUAGAGUAGCUUUUUCUCCUUAAAGUAAUUUCAGACACCAGCCACCAAGGGGGUAUUUGUCAGAUCUUCCCUUAACCAAUGAAGUCAUGCUAUAUGAAUGCUGUUCUUGAGGGUGAGUCUGAUUUAUUCAAUUCAUUAGUCAUGAGAAAAUGCUUAUAUCUUCUAAUAUCAUGAUCCACAUUCUAUUUAAUAAAUAGAAUUGAUAAUUUUACCUAAAGGAGUUACAAAAAAAAAAAAAAAACAUUAAAUGUCCAGAUAUCUAGUUACUACAAGCCCUCCAGAAUGUAGAGAAACUAUUCUAGGAGUGAGAGGGAGCAGGAAAGGUCAGGGGACAGAAGGAGCAGCUGCAUGAGCUGUUUGAGGACCCAGUGGGUUCUUGGAGUCUGAGAAAGGACUGGAGAGGUGAAAGGGUACUGGCAAGAGUCAGAGACCAUCAGCCUGGGGCCAGAGAGGUCAGAUCUCUGAACAACAUGUGUCUGUGAGAGAGUGUCUACCUACAGUGACGACUGAACUAAAUGGUUUCCUCUCCACCUUGAUCCUGAUUACAGAAGUAGAAGAACUAACUGUGGAAAGGAGGAAAGUGAAAAUUUAAGGUUUGACUGUAUGAAAUUAAUAGUCAUUUAUGUAAAUGCUGUGUAGUUUGUUGUUUUUUCAUUUGACAAUAACAAUGUGCAUAUGAUUAAAUGUGCUUUGUUGACUAUUGUAAGUUUUAAUUUGAUAAAAAUUGCUCAUGCUUGCAGAGUCUGCUCUUAACAAACAUCAUGUUGUCUCUAUAAUUUUAAAGAAUAGAUGAAUUGUCACAAAAAUAUUUCAUACUUAGUCAUUUACUCCCAGAUGAAAGUUGGAUGCUUUAUGGAAAAUGUUACAGUAAAAGAGGGUAUUUAUGUUUCAGAUAGUCUUUUUGUAUUUUGUUUGCAUUUAAUGAUGCCUGUUAAAGUAUUCCUGGGUGACCUUUAUGAUCUUGCUGUUCAGUUUUAGGUUUCAGUGAUUGAAGUCCUUGAAAAUAUGUACCUAAGUCUAUGCAAUUUUCAACACAUCUUCUGUAGAGUCAAAAUAUGGCCUAUAAUAUGACUUUUGUUAUCCACUGCAUAAAUCUGAAAUUGAAGGUAGGAGGUUUCAACUUUCAAAAAUUUUUCAUCUACCCUGGCUUCUGUAACUUUCAUCAUUGGAAAUGUGUGGUAUAAACUGUCAAUUCCGCAGUCACUACUAAACUGGCAUGGUUUGUAAUAAUACUAUUUAAGGUGCUCAUCAAGGGAGUAAAUGUAGCCUGUUUUGAAUUAGGAAAUGUUAGAAAAGAAGGUGUUAACAUUUUCAGAGAUCAGCCUUCAACUUUGAAAAUACUCUUGGCAAAAUACUGACUGAGUUCAUUGGUCCAUUAAGCUGUAUCUUUCUGUCUGAAUCAGCUUUCCAUUUGAAUAUUGACAAAAAGGAUGACCUUGUGUUCUGACCUUUUAACCCCACGAAGCUAAUCCUGCUUUUAUUCCAAAAGGGAGGAUGGGACAGUGGAUGUCCUAAUGCUCCCAUUGUAUUCCAAAUUUAUAAACAGGUCCUUUGCCGUUUUAAUAAAAAUUAUUAACACAAUAACAACUUAGAAUUCCACAUGUCCUAAUUUGCAGUUCCACCAUAUUUAGCAUGAAAUGUUGUGCUGCACAAUAUGUUAUUAAAAUCAAUUGUCAUAGAAGUAAAAGAUGCACAUGAACAUCAUUGCCCAUCAAAUCAAUAAGCAAUAAAAUGAAACGGGUAUAUAGGGCAUUGCCCUUUACUGAAUCAAACAAGCUGGAUUUUCCCCCAACAGCCCUGUGAGACUAUUGAACUCAGUCAUAAACUAAUCAGGGAUUUUACCAGUGGUUUCAGAAUAAAAAGGAAAAAUACUCUCCUUCAUCCCUGACAACCUAACCUUUGGUGCUGAUCAGUUGAAAUAAGACAUAAUGCUCAAGAAAAGAUGUAUCUGGAGGGUCAUCUCAUGUGGAGGCUGAAGGUCAUUUCCAACAAAGCAAUCAAAUAUCUAAUAAAACCUCAAGAUCACAUCUUUGGCAUAUAGGCAAGCAGAAUAAACUAGAUAAGAGUGAAAAAACUUAGAAUCCUGUAUCUGUGGUAAGAGAUGGUUCUCUAAGCAUCAAUGUGGAGAUUGGCAAAUAUUCAUUAAACCUGACAUUGCUUAAUAUAACUAAUAAAAAAUUAAUACAUUGAGAUCACAUCAAUUUAUGAAAUGAGGAAAAACAGUUGUUUUUUUAACUCAUCAUUGAAAAAGUACACUUUUAUAAAAAUACUAUGAACUUCUUUUAAUAUUUUGAUUAAUUUGAAUUUCUGAUUGGCCCCACAAAGAUUAACUCUACUGUAAUUUUAGAAUAAACCAGUCUCUUUUUAUUGGACAAGUCAUCACCAUUUAUCGGAGAACAUGAAAAUAGGUAAAAUGAAUUUUAAUUUAUUCAAGUCAGCAUGAAAAAUAAAAUUAAAAAUAAAAAUAAAUUUGCUUUCAAAAACGUCUUACAUUGUUUUUAGGUUUGGGUAUUGGUAAGUGCAAAUCUAUUGUUCACAUGUGUUGGCAAUUUAAAGAUCUGAUUUAAAAUAGUUUAGAAAAAAUCAAAGAAAAACCCUGAAUAAAAGAUGGUUUAAAAUAUUUGUUUUAUAUAUAUA
rnacentral:lncRNA from 1 species